GAGAUUUUUGAUCUAUUCUCUGGUUCAUUUCUCAAAUGGCCACAACAGCCAGGGCUGUGCCAGGACAAACCAGGAGCCAGAAACUCCAUCAAGGCCUCCCACAAGGGUUGCUGGGGCCCAAAUGCUUAGGUCAUCUUCCACUGCCUUCCCAGGCUCGUUACCAGGGAGCUGGAUAGGAGGCCGAGCAGCUGGGACUCAAACCCGAGCUCUGAUAUGGACAAAGGCUUCUCAAGUGCUGGCCUUAACCUGCUGGGCCACAACACAGGACCCAAGGGAAGGUUUCUCUCCUUUGGGACUCUUUCCCCCAAGACUGGAUGACACGGUGCCGUUACCCAACUCUUGAAACCCCUGUCUCAGACAAUGUGACAUUGACUUCCACAAUUUCUCUACUCAUCACCAACAGUGAUCCACAGUGGACUUGUCCCUUUAAGAUACACCUUCAUACCAGCCUGUUGCCCUCAGAAACUUCAUGAGACUCCAGAGGUGCUGAUGCCGUAUAGCUUACCCCACACUAUCAGGUGCAUCCAAGAUGGCCGACAUCAGAGCUGAGCCAAAGCAGGCGUUGUGCCCUUGAACCACUGGAAAUGUGAGCUAAAUAAACCCAUUUUCU